rnacentral:rRNA from 1 species
UACGAAGGGGGCAAGCGUUGUUCGGAAUUACUGGGCGUAAAGGGCGCGUAGGCGGCUUAUCAAGUCAGGCGUGAAAUUCCCGGGCUCAACCUGGGGGCUGCGCUUGAUACUGAUUGGCUUGAAUGCGGGAGAGGAUAGUGGAAUUCCCAGUGUAGAGGUGAAAUUCGUAGAUAUUGGGAAGAACACCGGUGGCGAAGGCGGCUAUCUGGCCCGUAAUUGACGCUGAGGCGCGAAAGCGAUGGGGAGCAAACAGGGAUUAAGAUGACCC